GUGAAUCAUCAAAUCUUUGAACGCAAAUUGCGCUUCCUUGCAUCCCGGUAAGUAUUCCUGUGUGAGGGUCAGUAUUAACAAAAAAUCGGUUUGGUUGCAAAUUGUGACGUUUCCGGAUUUUGUGCUAUCUUAACUUUUUGGUUUAAGGGGCUUAAAAUUUACCUUUUUUUCGCAUUUUUAGUCGUACGUAAAUUUUUUUUUUAUUCUUCGGUUUUGAUUUCCA
rnacentral:misc_RNA from 1 species